rnacentral:misc_RNA from 1 species
UCCCAGCAAUGGAAUCUGCAAGGUAUGGCUCAUUCGAACCAUAUGUGGAGAAGUUUAAUUUCUUAUUAGUGAGAGCAGAAGACAGAAAAUGCAGAACAGUUGUAUAGUGUUUCAAAGGCGUUGCCUACGCACGUCCGGUCGUCCAGGUAUCUCCAGCUCGCUACCUAUUUUUGCCAUUAUGGAAUAUGCAAGGUAUGGCUCCACAUUGAUACAAUUGAUGGUUUGUCUGCAUAUCUAGCAAGUGUGCAGGAGGAUGUUGCAUCAGUUAUCAUUGGUAAAAAAGCUAUAUUGCAUGCGCGGACUGCCUCUGAUGCUAUUGAUAUGAGGAUCUCAGUUGAUGAAAGAGUAAAGGACAAGCUCUCGAAUUUGGUAGCCAGGCUCCAAAAUCAAAGCUUUACCGCUUCCCGAAAGAACUAGCAUCACUCUCAGAGUGCUUGUUUCAUCUGAAAAGGAGACCACUUUUAGGUGGCAUAAUCGGACAUGAAGAUGAAAGAUCUGUACUUAGGAAUUUGUUCUUGAAUGCUUUGUUUGACCUUUCACUUCGUAUGCUACCACUUCAGUGUAUAAUGCAUUGUUAAGAUGUACAUUUGUGCUUGUUUGAUCUGAAAAGGGGACCACUUUUAUAUAGCAUAAUAGGAUAUGAAGAUGAAAGAUCUAUACUUAGGAAUUUGUUCAUGAAUGCUUUGUUUGACCUUUCACUUCGUAUGCUGGCACCUCAGUGUAUUAAGUGUUAAUGUUACAGUUAUUCUUGGAUCAACAUCAUUCGAGUAUUUGACUAUUGCUUGUCACGUGCACCUGUUAUUCUUGCAUCACUAUUUUGAACCAAUUUUUAAGCUACCAUAGCAACGCAAGGGCACGCACAUAGUAAAAUUAUUAAGCGUUAUCCUUAUGACUUCGCCGUUUGCAGGCAGGUGGACCCGCAUGAAUGAAUGCUAGGGUAUAGCUACGUAUAUUCGUAUGUACACUGAAGCGCUACCAGAUGUUGCUCCGUGGCACGCAGCGUUGGAAGCUUCACUCUCUGGGGGCGAGGAGCUGCUCCUUGCGCAGCGAUGCCGCCGCCGCCGUUGGGCGCAGAGAACAGUAUGCUGGAACAAGCCCCGUCCUCCUCCGCUUCCAGCAGUUCCAGCCGGUACAGUUGCUGGCCGGCGGCGAAGUUGCCGAGCAGCUGGUACGAGCUCGGCGAGCCGUCCAUGGUUAAGCACAGCUCAUCGGUGCCUGAUGAACGAAUGGAAUUUAGAAGAAAAGAAAGAACAGAGAUUUAUUUUUACAUGUGCAGACCGAGACCGGGGUGAGCUUUAGUUUAGCACGUCACACGUCGACGACGAGGAAGAAGGAAGGAACGAAGUGACGGUAGUCGAUGGAUGUACGUACAUGCGGCGAGCUCCUUCUGGGUGCGGUAGAGGAACUGCAGCACAGCGGCGAUCUCGUCCCGGAACCGGGAGAAAGGGCCGCCCCCGUCGUUGUCGCCGUCGCCGUCUAGCUGCAGCUUACGGAGCUUGCAGAGGCCCUCGCCGAGCUCCAUCAUCGCGCCGCGGUGGUUCUGCACAGGGCACGUGGCGAUCGAUCGUCAUGUAUGGCGACGAUGGAGCAUUGCACACACCUCAUCGAGAGUGCGAUCUACUGGCGGAUCGGUGUGAGAUGUGUGAAAUUAACAAGGGAAUUAACUGGAGGAGGAAUGGAAGGAAAGAACCUGGUUGAAGAGGUGGUGGAAGCCGACGGCGCACUGGAGGAGGCCGUGGAGGAGCGUCCGGGCGGGGUCCUCGGCGCUGUACCACAGCUCCUCCACCACGUCGUGGCACGCGUGGUACUCGCCGCGGUUGAACAGCGCCACCGCCGCGCCGAAGGACCCGUAACCACCACCAGCAGACGACGUCUGCUCCUCGUCCUCGUCCUCGUCCUCGUCGUCGUCGUGGGACGGGCGCUCGCCUCGCGCCGUGAGGAGCCGUCGCCGGCAGCGGAGAUCGGAGCUGGCACGGCGGUCGUCGACGAUGUUUAUUAUCUGCCGUGGCGGUCGCUGGUGGCGGCGGAGCAAGAACGCCGCCGCGGUCGCGGCGGCACUACGCGCGCGGUGGCGGGGCUGCGGCGGGCCGGCGCGCGCGCACGCGGAGGCGGAGGCGGAGGCCGGCACCGCCAUGAAGGUCGUCGUUGUGGAGAUGGACGCGCGCGUGCCACGUACGCCUUGCCUUGGGGGAUGUGGUGCCCGUGCCGUGUCGUGUGUGGCUUGCCACCAGACGAGAGCACCCAUCAAUCAUUGGCUUGGCUGAUUGGCUCCCCACUCACUGCACGUGUGGACUGCAUGCAGCGCACCGCGAACAAAAUUAUCCUUCUACUCUUAGCACUACUAGUCUGUC